ACAUCACCAGGAGCAUGUCACAGUUGUCCCAAGACCUACCUCAGCCCCACUGAACCAAGAUUCUCCAACAUUGGACUUGGCAAGAUGUGUCUUAACAACUUCUCCAAGGAGAUCAAGUUAGAGGACCCCUGCAUCAUUAUAGUGAACUGAGCCAAGAUGGCCAGACCAUUGUACUUCACCCGAAAGGUAUAGGAGCUCCAGCAGAGUAUCUUGAGGACAGCUGGGAUUCUCACAUGACUCCCAAGGCUCCUGAGAGCUGACUGGACAAGAAGAGAACUCACAUUUGGCUGACCCUGGAAGAAAGGUACUCUAGUCUAGGCUGGAUUUGGUAAGACCUGGACUACCUAAACCCUAGGGUGAGAAUGACCUCCUUCCAAGGACCCAUUAGGAGGAGGCCAG